rnacentral:rRNA from 1 species
UUAUAUGGUCAAGAAGAGAAGCGCAAACGGUGGAUGCCUUGGCAGUAAGAGGCGAAGAAGGACGUGGAAUCCUGCGAAAAGCUAUGGGGAGCUGGAAACGAGCGUUGAGCCAUAGAUGUCCGAAUGGGGGAACCCGGCUGCAGCGAUGCGGUCAUUUGCAUUUGAAUACAUAGGAUGCAAAGGCGAACUCGGGGAACUGAAACAUCUAAGUACCCGAAGGAAAAGAAAUCAA